GAGCGAGGGUCACCCUACGAGAGCGUGAGUUUCAUCUUUCUUGUUUAAACCGGUGUUUGCGGUACCCUGUCCCCCGUAUCUGGGUCCGAGGGUCCUACUGAUCCUAAAAUCCCGGCCUUCGUCCAGCAGACGAAGUAAAUGCAGGCGUCGCCGUGCGAGGCGGGAGGGGGAGGGGCUGCGGCUUCGCUUUCCUGUGGAAAUCCGCGAGCGGAUCCCUGCCCCUCGCGCCCCCUUGCCUCUGCGUCUCCGCCCCUGGAGGGCCGCGAGCCCACCGCCCCGCUGCAGGAGAGGCUCCGUCCUGCUUCUGGCCCCGGGAUUCUGGAGAGCCCGCUCCGUUCCAGAAACACACCCACUUUCCUUCGCCUCGCACACUCCACAGCCGGGAUGUUCUGGUUCCCAGGCCCCUCCUUUUUAGUCUCUGUCUCUCCUCACCUUGCAGUUGGGGAAAGAAGCUAAAACGGGCCUGUCUUGAGACACUCAGAAUUUUUCUGCCCCAAAUUCUACCCCACUCGAUAACGUGCUCUGUUGCUGUGGAAUUAAUAAACGGGCAUCUAAUCCUUUCUGUUGACUAAACAGGUAUCACCUAGAAGUUGAGAAUUAUGUUAUAUUUGGCAGAUAAAACUGAGGACUUGGGGUUGGUAGAUGCAAACUAUUGCAUUUAGAAUGGAUAAGCGGUGAGGUCCUACUGUACAGCACAAGGGAACUAUAGGCUUUUGGAUAAGAACAUGGUAGAAGAUAAUAUGAGAAAAAGAGCGUGUGUGUAUGCAUGGUUCACUUUAUUGUACAGCAGCAGUUGGCACAACAUUGUAAAUCAACUUACAAUCAAAAAACCAAAACUGCGGACUUAAGCCCAGCCACAGCCUCUCUGAGGGACUGCUCCCAAGAGGUGAAGGAGGAGCCGAGGGUGUAUAGGAGUUUUGCAAAAACAAAACGAAAAAAGCCACAACAACAAUCCAGUUAGUUGGCGCAUCCAAAGAUUCGUGUUGGAGUUCCCAUCGUGGCUCAGCGGAAACGAAUCUGACUAGGAACCAUGAGGACAAAGGUUUGAUCCCUGACCUCACUCAGUGGGUGAAGGGUCCUGCAUUGCCCUGAGAGGUGGUGUAGUCUUGCAGACGCGGCUUCAGUCUGUCCUUGCUGUGGUUGUGGUGUAGGCCAGCGGCUAUAACCCCUAGCCUGGGAACCUCCGUAUGCUGCGGGUGUGGCACUUAAAAAAAAAAAAAAGUUAAGUGUUAAAGAAAACCAGAAAUGUCAAGUUAAUGAAUUUACUGCUUUUCAGUGUAUGGGAAGGUGGUAAAGUCUGGGCUCUUGGAAAUCCUUCCUUGGAUAUGCACCUUGACUGUCCAAGGCCAGCAUUCUGCUUUUCUCCAUCCUGAGUCCCCUCAGAGUGCACAGUCCCAAGUGAGGCAGGGUGGGGAGGCUGCAUCCACUGAGAGCCACCGCAUCCUUUGUUUACUGAUGUGGCAGGAGACAUGCUUCAUCCACAUAUCCCAUUUCUGGUCAAGAGAACUCAGAAGUAGAAAAAGAGAAAAGAAUGAAGGACAACCAUAAACAGCUGGCACAGUGAAGGAUAGAUGAGGAACGUGGAAAGACACAGUACGAGUUAUUAUAAAACAAUAAACCAGCAGCACGGGUUCCUUAAGGAAUCACAAUACAGGACUGGAAAAGUAGCAGAAACCACAGGGAAGUCCCAGCAAGCAAAGGAGAGGAAUAUUGCUUUCUAGAGAAAAAGGGGGAAGGUGGGAGUAGUUGUUCUGCACAAAAGCCCAUUGGAGGAAAGUGGACUGUUGGAGGCACAAGGUGUUUCUCAUUGGCUGGGCUUGUUGCUGGACAAGGAGAAUAAUUCCUUUGAGGCCAGUCGUUGAUGUCUUCCUGUUGGGGUUUGUAUGCUGACUUCUAGUGUUAGUGCCUGAGGGCUUUACUGUAAGGCUUCCAGGCUUUUAAGUAUACUGGAUUCAGUUUGCUAGUAUUUUAUGAAGAUUUUUGUAUCUAUAUUCACCAAAGAUUUUGGCCUGCAGUUUGUUUUUGUGUUAGUGUCCUUGUUUUGGGGCGUGUUCUUUUGCCUUCAUUCUUUUGGAAGAGUGUGAGAAGAAGGAUCAGUGUAAGUUCUUCCUUAUAUGUUUGGUAGAAUUCACUUUCCGUUUUGUUUGUUUGUUUGUUGUUUUGUCUGAGUCUGCAGCAUGGCAGAGUUCCUGCACCCUUACCUGCCAGGCCGUCAGGGAACUCCAAACUAUUUCUCUUUUAAAUUGUGUCCAGUUCAGACGGGGCCUGUGGGCUCUCUCCUCUUUGUUGGAAACAUUCUUUGGAACCUAGUAAAUAAAUUUAGCUUAUUCCGUUGUGUACUACUUGGUAAGGAUGUUGGUGAUCUUUUAUCUUAACGGUCAAACCUAGUUUAACCGGUUAGUCUCAUGUUUUUUCUCUCCUCCUCUUUCUUUUUAAUCUGUUAAAAUAGCGAGCUGUGAAGUGAUAGUAAGCUGUUUGCCUCAGGUCCCCCUCGAUUGUUCUCUGCAAGGGAUGAAGGAUGGGCUGCAGUGACUUGGAACCUUCUCCCAACACAGCCCAGCACGUCAUGAUGAAGAAGUUUGCUCAGAGCUUAUUUCUAUUUUUUGUUUUUGUUUUUGUGUUUUUAGGGUCCCACCCUCAGCAUAUGGAAGUUCCCAGGCUAGGGGUCAAAUCUGAGCUACAGCACAGCCACAGCAACACCAGAUGGGAGCCGAGUCUGUGACCUACACCCCAGCUCACGGCAACACCGGAUCCUUAAUCCACUGAGCGAGACCAGGGAUUGAAUCUGCAUCCUCGUGGAUACUAAUCAGAUUUUGUUUCCACUGAGCCACAGCAGGAUCUCCAAAGUGGGGCCUUUUAUUUCUUUCUUUCUUUUCUUUUCUUUUUAGGGCCUCACCUAUGGCAUAUGGGAGUUCCCAGGCUAGGGGUCAAAUCAGAGCUAUAGCUGCCAGCCUACACCACAACUGCAGCACCUCAGGAUCCUAGCCGCAUCUGUGACCUACACCACAGCUCACAGCAACACUGGAUCCUUAACCCACUGAGUGAGGCCAGGGAUUGAACCCACAUACUCAUGAAUACUAUUCGGGUUCUUAACCCACUGAGCCACAACAGGAACUCUGAAGUGGGGUCUUUGAAAACUCAGCUGAAAGGUGAUUUUCCUUAGGGAGAGGUUGUUGGGUCUAUUGGCAAAACACCAGGUGAGAGUUUAUAAGGGGACCAUGAUUAGAGCUUUGAAAAAUCAGAGGGCAGUGACAUUACAGUGACACACCUACAGUAAAAAGGCUUAUCCUUGGGAUUGUCUUUCUUUUCUUUUUGUGUGUGUGUGUGUGUGUGUUUUAGAGCCGUGCCUGCAGCGUGUGGAAGUUCCCAGGGGAGUCAAAUCAGAGCUGCAGCUGCUGGCCUACAUUACAGCCAUAGCAAUGAGGGAUCUACACCAAGUCUGUGACCUGCCCCACAGCUCACAGCAAUGCCAGAUCGCCAAUCCACUGAGCAAGGCCAGGGAUCAAACCCACAUCCUCAUAGAUACUGGUCGUUUUCUCUGUGCCACAACGGGAACUCCUUUUUUUUUUAAUUGAAAUACACAGCAUUCUCAAUGUUGUGUUAUUUUCAGGUAUACAGCAAAGUGAUUCAGUUUAUAUGUAUAUUUUUUUUUUUAAUUUUUUUUUUGAGGGGGGAGGUCUUUUUGCAGCACAUGGAGGUUCCUAGGCUAGGGGUCUAAUUGGAGCUGUAGCCGCCAGCCUACACCAAAGCCACAGCAAUGAGGGAUCCAGGCCGCGUCCCUACACCACAGUUCACGGCAACGCCCGAUCGUUCACCCACUGAGCAAGGCCAGGGAUAGAACCCGCAAUCUCGUGGUUCCUAGUCGGAUUCGUUAACCACUGAGCCACGAAAGGAACUCCUAAAAUUUUUUUUUAGUUGAUUUACAGUAUUGUAUCAAUUUCAGCUCUACAGCAAAAUGACCCAGUUAUACAUAUAGAUAGAUAGAUAGAUAUACUUUUUCUCUCAUGUUGUCUCCCAUCAUGUUGUUUUUUUUUAUUUUUGUCUUUUUUUUAGGACCACACUGUGGCAUAUGGAGGUUCCGAGGCUAGGGGUCUAAUCGGAGCUUCACCUUUUAGCCUACGCCACUGCCACAGCAAUGACAGAUCCAAGCCACCUCUGCGACCUAUGCCACAGCUCACGGCAACACCGGAUCCUUAACCCACUGAGCGAGGCCAGGGAUCGAACCUGCAACCUCAUGGUUCCUAGUUGGAUUGGUUUCCACUGCACCACGACAGGAACUCCGUUUGUGGUUUUUUGUUUGUUUGUUUGUUUGUGUUUUGUUUUUUUGUGGUUUUUUUGCCAUCAUGUUCUAUCCCAAGAGAUUGGCCAUAGUUCCCUGUGCUGUACAGUAGGACCUCAUUACUUAUCCAUUCUAAAUGUAAUAGUUUGCAUCUUCCAACCCCAAACUCCUCAUCCAUCCCACUCCCUCCCUCCCUCUCCCCCUUGGCAACCACAAGUCUGUUCUCUAUAUCCAUGAGUCUGUUUCUGUGCUGUAGAUAAUGUCAUUUGUGCCAUACUUUAGAUGCCACAUAUAAGUGUUAUCAUAUGGUAUUUGUCUUUCUUUUUGUGACUGACUUCACAUAUUAUGAGAAUUUCUAGUUACAAUUGUGUAGCUGCAAAUGGCAUUAUUCUCCUUUUUAUGGCUGUGUAGUAUUCCAUUGUAUAUAUGUACCAAAUCUUCUUAAUCCAUUCUGUUGAUGGGCAUUUAGGUUGUUUCCAUGUCUUGGCUAUUGUGAAUACUGCUGCAAUGAACAUAGGGGUGCAUGUAUCUUUUAUAUAUUCUUUUUCAGAUUCUUUUGUUGUUGUUGGCUGCAGCAAGUAGCAGCUUGAUGUGGGAUCUCAGUUCCCAGACCAAGAAUUGAACCCAGGCCACAGCAGUGAAAGCACCUGAAUCCUAUCCACUAGACCACCAGGGAACCCCCUCUUUUUCAUAUUCUGUUUCCUCAUAGGUUAUUACAGAAUAUCGAGGGAGUCUCUUUUGUGGCUCAGGGGUGAUGAACAUGACUAUCCAUGAGGAUUUGUGUUCAAUCCCUGGCCCCGCUCAGUGGGUUAAGGAUCUGGUGUUGCCAUGAGCUGCAAUGUAGGUCACAAAUGCACCUUAGAUCUGGGGUGGCUGUGGCUGUGGUGUAGGCUGCAGCUCCAAUUUGACACCUAGUCUGGGAACUUCCAUAUGCCAUGGGUGUGGCCCUAAAAAGACAAAAAAAAAAAAAAAAAAA
rnacentral:lncRNA from 1 species